CUUCAUCACAAGCAAGCAACACGAGCGGUAACAGUGCUGAUCCAUUUAUGCGACACGGCUGAAGCGUGGUGUCGUGACGUCAUACAUCCAUGGUUGAUGCUCCACGCCCCUGACUUGCAGCUGAUUGGACGAACGUGUCACGUGGGUCUGGCU